rnacentral:rRNA from 1 species
ACGUAGGGUGCGAGCGUUGUUCGGAAUUAUUGGGCGUAAAGGGCUCGUAGGCGGUUUGUUGCGUCGUAUGUGAAAUUCCGGGGCUUAACCACGGGAGUGCAGGCGAUACGGGCAUAACUUGAGUACUGUAGGGGUAACUGGAAUUCCUGGUGUAGCGGUGAAAUGCGCAGAUAUCGGGAGGAACACCGAUGGCGAAGGCGGCUUACUGGACAGUUACUGACGCUGAGAAGCGAAAGCGUGGGUAGCGAACAG